UACGGAGGGUGCGAGCGUUGUCCGGAAUCAUUGGGCGUAAAGGGCGCGUAGGUGGCCACUUCAAGCGUGCGGUGAAAGUCGGGGGCUCAACCCCUGAUCGGCCGUGCGAACUGGGGGGCUGGAGCACUGUAGAGGCAGGCGGAAUUCCGGGUGUGAGCGGUGGAAUGCGUAGAGAUCCGGAAGAACACCGGUGGCGAAGGCAGAUCUCUGGGCCGUAACUGACGCUGAGGAGCGAAAGCAUGGGGAGCGAACAGG
rnacentral:rRNA from 1 species